UCCUGUGUCGGUCCAGGGUCUCCAACAGCGCGGGGUGGGGGUGGGGGCGGGGAUAGGGCGGCUUUCCCCCGGGGAUCCCCGCUGCAGAGCAUCCCACUGCUGCGUUCCCGGACACAUGCCCCCUCCCCCCGCCCCAGCACACAUGGCGCGCGCGGGUGUGGAAACUGAGGCUGGAGAGGAGGGACCGCGACCGGGAAUGGCCGGGGCCGGAGUUGCGGCGGAGCUUCCAGGACAGAAGGGGGUUCUAGAGGGCCACGCCCCCCCAGCGUGCUCCCUGGCGGCCGGGCAGGAUGAGGCAGAGUCCUGUGUUGCAGGCUCAGUCCUGAGCCCCACGCCUCCCUGGGCCUCAGUCUCCACCACCGCGCAGGUGGCCAGAGCCGCCCUCUCCGCCCUGCUCCUGCCUCCGAGAGGGCGGAGAGACGGCGGCCCGGGACUGCGGCUCCCGUGGCGUCCCGUGAUUGCACAGGACGAUAAUGAGGGUUUGGAGGGUGGCGCGCGCCCCGCGCCAGCUUUCUAGGACUCACUCCCAUUUUGCCCCAUCUCUUCCCCACUCCCUUUGCUGUUGAGCCUGCCCAGACUUGGGGAGAAACAUCUCUAAGAAGCCUCUACCCCCUCCUUUGGGGCGCCAAGCCGAUUCGGUCCUGUUGGUAUGAAAUGGAAAAUCUGUGUUUUGAGCAAACACCCCAGGCCAUCUGCUGUGUUCACACUUUGAGAAACACUGGUGGAGUUUUAAAUGCCCCUCCAGGAAGGGAGGAGAGCCUGAGAAUGAAUCUGACCCAAACCCAUCCACCUAAGUUCUGGUCAUUUGGAAGGAGGAAGAACAGCCUGGAUACUGGCAGGAAAGGAUGACAAGCUGGGAGCCACAGAGCUUCCUGAGACUGGCAGUGGGGUCACCAAGGGGUCCCCUAUUUCCUAUUCCUGCUACCCGUACUGUGGGCAGGUGUGAAAGAUGCUGGGAGUGAGGCAGGACACCUGCUUACCUGCAGACCUUUCAGCAGAGCCACAGAAGCUUAUCAUGUACUGGAACUGUUCCAAGUGCUUUCCAUAUAUUUAACCCCUGCCACAAUCCUGUGAGGUAGGUACUACCGUUAUCCCCACUUUACAGAUGGGAAAAGUGAGGCUCAGAGGUAUUAAGUAACUUGCCAAGGUCACACAGCUAGGCAAUGGUGGAGCUGGGGCUUGAAUCCGGGUUGUGGCUCUGCUUACCCCCAUGCCAUACUGCAUAUAUUCUGUAUGCAUUCUAUUCAUUCUUCUAACAUGGCCUAGGAGAAGAUACCAAGGAAAGGGAAAUGGAGGGUGGGGGGAUCCUAGGGGGAAGGAUCCAAGGAAAGUCAUAAAAAUGGGUGAAAAGGAAAAUCCCAAACAUACUUUCCCCCAUUUAUGUUCUCCCUCAACACUACUCUUGCCUUUCUUUUUUCAUGUCUCCUUCUUGUUCCCUGUGUCUGGGAGACUGUGGAGAUGGCCUGGGAUGAUUACCUGCUCACUGGUUGCCCAAGGAGAUCACAGGGACUGGACCUUCCACCUGUCCUGUUUCUAUUCCUGGCAGGCAGGCCCACCAGUCUCCAGCCAAGUGGGGAAGGUAUUUCCCUUCUCGGGAUUCCUGGAUGGGGCCAGUGGCAUUAGUUCUCAGGAGAUAUGUGAUAGAGAUGGAGGCCUGGAGGGGGCAGGGGACUGGGAGUGUGUCUGAGGAAGACAUUCAGGCCAGAUGGUUAGUCGUUUUGGGGACAAUCAAUGCCAUGUCCUGGUACAGCCUCCACCCUCCUCUGACUGUCACUAGAUGUCUGGCAGGUGUGUUGGGACAGAUAAUCAAUAAUAAUAAUAAUAGUUUACA